rnacentral:rRNA from 1 species
GGGAUAACUACUGGAAACGGUAGCUAAUACCGCAUAACGUCGCAAGACCAAAGAGGGGGACCUUCGGGCCUCUUGCCAUCGGAUGUGCCCAGAUGGGAUUAGCUUGUUGGUGGGGUAACGGCUCACCAAGGCGACGAUCCCUAGCUGGUCUGAGAGGAUGACCAGCCACACUGGAACUGAGACACGGUCCAGACUCCUACGGGAGGCAGCAGUGGGGAAUAUUGCACAAUGGGCGCAAGCCUGAUGCAGCCAUGCCGCGUGUAUGAAGAAGGCCUUCGGGUUGUAAAGUACUUUCAGCGGGGAGGAAGGGAGUAAAGUUAAUACCUUUGCUCAUUGACGUUACCCGCAGAAGAAGCACCGGCUAACUCCGUGCCAGCAGCCGCGGUAAUACGGAGGGUGCAAGCGUUAAUCGGAAUUACUGGGCGUAAAGCGCACGCAGGCGGUUUGUUAAGUCAGAUGUGAAAUCCCCGGGCUCAACCUGGGAACUGCAUCUGAUACUGGCAAGCUUGAGUCUCGUAGAGGGGGGUAGAAUUCCAGGUGUAGCGGUGAAAUGCGUAGAGAUCUGGAGGAACACCGGUGGCGAAGGCGGCCCCCUGGACGAAGACUGACGCUCAGGUGCGAAAGCGUGGGGAGCAAACAGGAUUAGAUACCCU